GAUGAACGCUGGCGGCGUGCCUAAUACAUGCAAGUCGAGCGAACAGACGAGGAGCUUGCUCCUCUGACGUUAGCGGCGGACGGGUGAGUAACACGUGGAUAACCUACCUAUAAGACUGGGAUAACUUCGGGAAACCGGAGCUAAUACCGGAUAAUAUAUUGAACCGCAUGGUUCAAUAGUGAAAGACGGUUUUGCUGUCACUUAUAGAUGGAUCCGCGCCGCAUUAGCUAGUUGGUAAGGUAACGGCUUACCAAGGCAACGAUGCGUAGCCGACCUGAGAGGGUGGUCGGCCACACUGGAACUGAGACACGGUCCAGACGCCUACGGGAGGCAGCAGUAGGGAAUCUUCCGCAAUGGGCGAAAGCUUGACGGAGCAACGCCGCGUGAGUGAUGAAGGUCUUCGGAUCGUAAAACUCUGUUAUUAGGGAAGAACAAAUGUGUAAGUAACUAUGCACGUCUUGACGGUACCUAAUCAGAAAGCCACGGCUAACUACGUG
rnacentral:rRNA from 1 species